rnacentral:rRNA from 1 species
AGUGAACGCUGGCGGUAGGCCUAACACAUGCAAGUCGAACGGCAGCACAGUAAGAGCUUGCUCUUACGGGUGGCGAGUGGCGGACGGGUGAGGAAUACAUCGGAAUCUACUUUUUCGUGGGGGAUAACGUAGGGAAACUUACGCUAAUACCGCAUACGACCUACGGGUGAAAGCAGGGGAUCUUCGGACCUUGCGCGAUUGAGUGAGCCGAUGUCGGAUUAGCUAGUUGGCGGGGUAAAGGCCCACCAAGGCGACGAUCCGUAGCUGGUCUGAGAGGAUGAUCAGCCACACUGGAACUGAGACACGGUCCAGACUCCUACGGGAGGCAGCAGUGGGGAAUAUUGGACAAUGGGCGCAAGCCUGAUCUAGCCAUACCGCGUGGGUGAAGAAGGCCUUCGGGUUGUAAAGCCCUUUUGUUGGGAAAGAAAAGCAGCAGGUUAAUACCCCGCUGUUCUGACGGUACCCAAAGAAUAAGCACCGGCUAACUUCGUG